GGUAACACGAAAUCGUACCCCAAACCGACACAGGUGGUCAGGUAGAGAAUACCAAGGCGCUUGAGAGAACUCGGGUGAAGGAACUAGGCAAAAUGGUGCCGUAACUUCGGGAGAAGGCACGCUGAUAUGUAGGUGAAGUCCCUGCGGACGGAGCUGAAAUCAGUCGAAGAUACCAGCUGGCUGCAACUGUUUAUUAAAAACACAGCACUGUGCAAACACGAAAGUGGACGUAUACGGUGUGACGCCUGCCCGGUGCCGGAAGGUUAAUUGAUGGG
rnacentral:rRNA from 2 species